rnacentral:rRNA from 1 species
AGGCCCAGCCUGCCCAGUGAUUUAACGGCCGCGGUAUCCUAACCGUGCAAAGGUAGCGUAAUCACCUGUUUCUUAAUUAGAGACCUGUAUGAAUGGCACCACGAGAGUCACACUGUCUCCUUUUUCCAGUCAGUGAAACUAAUCUUCCUGUGAAAAAGCAGGAAUUUUCAAACAAGACGAGAAGACCCUUUGGAGCUUAAGACAAUUUUUAAUAGUCUUCAGUUGGGGCAACUACGGAGUAAAAACAACCCUCCAAGAUGGGAAUUUUCCUAAACAAAAAGCCACAGCUUUAUGUAUCAAUAAAAUGACAUUAUUAGACCCAAUAUGAUUAACGAACCAAGUUACCCUAGGGAUAACAGCGCAAUCCACUCUAAGAGUCCCUAUCGACGAGUGGGCUUACGACCUCGAUGUUGGAUCAGGGCAUCCCAGUGGUGCAACCGCUACUAAAGGUUCGUUUGUUCAACGAUUAAAGCCUCACGUGAUC